AUUGAACGCUGGCGGCAGGCCUAACACAUGCAAGUCGAACGAGUGGCGGACGGGUGAGUAAUGUCUGGGAAAGUGCCUGAUGGAGGGGGACAACUACUGGAAACGGUAGCUACUACCGCAUACCAUCAGCUGUGUCCGGAGGGGAUUAGCUUGUUGGUGGGGUAACGGCCCACCAAGGCGACGAUCCCGAGCUGGUCUGAGAGGAGGACCAGCCACACUGGAACUGAGACACGGUCCAGACUCCUACGGGAGGCAGCAGUGGGGAAUAUUGGACAAUGGGCGAAAGCCUGAUGCAGCCAUGCCGCGUGUAGGAAGAAGGCCUUCGGAUUGUAAAGUACUUUCAGCGGGGAGGCGUUACCAACAGAAGAAGCACCGGCUAACUCCGUGCCAGCAGCCGCGGUAAUUC
rnacentral:rRNA from 1 species